UCUGGUGUCCUAGGCGUAGAGGAACCACACCAAUCCAUCCCGAAUUUGGUGGUUAAACUCUACUGCGGUGACGAUACUGUAGGGGAGGUCCUGCGGCAAAAUAGCUCGAUGCCAUAA
rnacentral:rRNA from 1 species